AGUGAACGCUGGCGGUAGGCCUAACACAUGCAAGUCGAACGGCAGCACAGUAAGAGCUUGCUCUUACGGGUGGCGAGUGGCGGACGGGUGAGGAAUACAUCGGAAUCUACUUUUUCGUGGGGGAUAACGUAGGGAAACUUACGCUAAUACCGCAUACGACCUACGGGUGAAAGCAGGGGAUCUUCGGACCUUGCGCGAUUGAAUGAGCCGAUGUCGGAUUAGCUAGUUGGCGGGGUAAAGGCCCACCAAGGCGACGAUCCGUAGCUGGUCUGAGAGGAUGAUAGGCCACACUGGAGCUGAGACACGGUCAAGACUCCUACGGGAGGCAGCAGUGGGGAAUAUUGGACAAUGGGCGCAAGCCUGAUCCAGCCAUACCGCGUGGGUGAAGAAGGCCUUCGGGUUGUAAAGACCUUUUGUUGGGAAAGAAAAGCAGCAGGUUAAUACCCCGCUGUUCUGACGGUAACCAAAGAAUAAGCACCGGCUAACUUCGUG
rnacentral:rRNA from 1 species